rnacentral:rRNA from 1 species
UACGUAGGGGGCAAGCGUUGUCCGGAAUCAUUGGGCGUAAAGAGCGUGUAGGCGGCCAGAUAAGUCCGCUGUGAAAUCUCGAGGCUCAACUUCGAGCUGUCGGUGGAAACUGUCUGGCUAGAGUCCGGAAGAGGAGAAUGGAAUUCCUGGUGUAGCGGUGAAAUGCGCAGAUAUCAGGAAGAACACCAAUGGCGAAAGCAGCUCUCUGGGACGGUACUGACGCUGAGACGCGAAAGCGUGGGGAGCGAACAGG